UAGCUUCUUCGGGGUCGGGUGUAAUUCCCAAUCGGCGGUGACAAAGAUAAUUUGAAGUCCGCGACCUGCUAAUAGCAGUUGACCUGGUGCAAAUCCAGGACCGACAGUUAAAGUCUGGAUGGAAGAAGAAGUUU
rfam:Lactobacillus mellis strain Hon2 genomic scaffold Hon2_scaffold1, whole genome shotgun sequence.